rnacentral:rRNA from 1 species
GACGAACGCUGGCGGCGUGCUUAACACAUGCAAGUCGAACGGAAAGGCCCUGCUUUUGUGGGGUUCUCGAGUGGCGAACGGGUGAGUAACACGUGAGUAACCUGCCCUUGACUUUGGGAUAACUUCAGGAAACUGGGGCUACUACCGGAUAGGAGCUCCUGCUGCAUGGUGGGGGUUGGAAAGUUUCGGCGGGUGGGGAUGGACUGGCGGCUUAUCAGCUUGUUGGUGGGGUGGUGGCUUACCAAGGCUUUGACGGGUAGCCGGCCUGAGAGGGUGACCGGCCACAUUGGGACUGAGGUACGGCCCAGACGGCUACGGGAGGCAGCAGUGGGGAAUAUUGCACAAUGGGCGGAAGCCUGAUGCAGAAACGCCGCGUGCGGGAUGACGGCCUUCUGGUUGUAGACCGCUUUCGCCUGUAACGCAGCGUGAGUGACGGUAAUGGGUAAAGAAGCACCGGCUAACUACGUG